rnacentral:lncRNA from 1 species
AGCCACUAGAGAUCUCCAACCAGGACACAACAGAAACAAGACGGCCAGUUCAUAGCCAAAAUUGGUGCUGAUGACUCCGACAAAGCUGGGGCCGAUGAUUCCUGUCCAACCGCAGUUGAAGAUGAAUUAAACUUUCAUACUAAGAUGACAAGGAUUCUAGAAAUAAAAGUCCUCAACAGUCACAUCAAAAGAAAACUCAGGGAAAUUUAC